rnacentral:rRNA from 1 species
UUCGCAAUGCCCGAAAGGGUGACGAAGCGACGCCGCGUGUGGGAAGAAGGCCUUCGGGUUGUAAACCACUGUCGGGAGUUAAGAAAUACAAGGAUAUUAAUAGUGUCUUUGUUUGACUAAGGCUCCGGAGGAAGCCACGGCUAACUCUGUGCCAGCAGCCGCGGUAAUACAGAGGCGGCAAGCGUUGUUCGGAAUUAUUGGGCGUAAAGAGCACGUAGGCGGCUAUGUAAGUCGGUUGUGAAAGCCUUCCGCUCAACGGAAGAACAGCAUCCGAUACUACAUGGCUUGCGUGCGGGAGGGGAGAGUGGAACUUCUGGUGGAGCGGUGAAAUGCGUAGAUAUCAGAAGGAACGCCGGCGGCGAAAGCGGCUCUCUGGCCCAUAACUGACGCUGAGUGUGCGAAAGCUAGGGGAGCAAACGGGAUUAGAUACCCCGGUAGUCCUAGCCGUAAACGAUGGGCACUAAGUAGAGGGGUUUU